rnacentral:rRNA from 1 species
CGUGCUUGCACGGUCUGAUUAGUGGCGAACGGGUGAGUAACACGUGAGUAACCUGCCCCUCACUUCGGAAUAACCUCGGGAAAUCGUGGCUAAUACCGGAUAUGAACUUCUACCGCAUGGUGGGAGUUGGAAAGUUUUUCGGUGAGGGAUGGACUCGCGGCCUAUCAGCUUGUUGGUGAGGUAGUGGCUCACCAAGGCGAUGACGGGUAGCCGGCCUGAGAGGGCGACCGGCCACACUGGGACUGAGACACGGCCCAGACUCCUACGGGAGGCAGCAGUGGGGAAUAUUGCACAAUGGGCGAAAGCCUGAUGCAGCGACGCCGCGUGGGGGAUGAAGGCCUUCGGGUUGUAAACCUCUUUCAGCAGGGAAGAAGCGAAAGUGACGGUACCUGCAGAAGAAGCGCCGGCUAACUACGUGCCAGCAGCCGCGGUAAUACGUAGGGCGCAAGCGUUGUCCGGAAUUAUUGGGCGUAAAGAGCUUGUAGGUGGCUUGUCGCGUCUGCCGUGAAAAUCCAAGGCUCAACCUUGGACGUGCGGUGGGUACGGGCAGGCUAGAGUGUGGUAGGGGAGACUGGAACUCCUGGUGUAGCGGUGAAAUGCGCAGAUAUCAGGAAGAACACCGAUGGCGAAGGCAGGUCUCUGGGCCAUUACUGACACUGAGAAGCGAAAGCAUGGGGAGCGAACAGGAUUAGAUACCCUGGUAGUCCAUGCCGUAAACGUUGGGCACUAGGUGUGGGGAACAUUCCACG